rnacentral:rRNA from 1 species
UACGUAGGCAGCGAGCGUUGUUCGGAGUUACUGGGCGUAAAGGGUGUGUAGGCGGUUCUUUUAAGUUUGGCGUGAAAUCUCCCGGCUCAACCGGGAGGGUGCGUCGAAUACUGAGGGACUAGAGUACGGGAGAGGAAAGUGGAAUUCCUGGUGUAGCGGUGAAAUGCGUAGAUAUCAGGAGGAACACCCGUGGCGAAGGCGGCCUGCUGGGCCGGACCUGACGCUGAGGUGCGAAAGCGUGGGGAGCAAACAGG